UAUUAUUUCAACAAAAAGUGGUUUACGAUUUGAUCUUUUAAUGAUAAAUUUUGUUAAUAACGAAUCAUAAUAUUCCAAAAUUAGUUCUAGUUGUCAGGUUUCGUACCAAACAGUACCAAACGCCGCAAAACAACUUUUGGGUUUCAUGUAACUGUUAUUUGAGAAUCUGAAGCAAUGUUUGCGUAAUUAUAAUAACUAUGAACAUUUAUCUGGAAAAUUUACAAAACACCAUGUUAUCUUAUGCAAAGAAUGAUGGCAAAACAUACUAUUCCGAUGGUUAAGAAAUUUGGUGGAAAAUGGUUCGUGGAGAAGGAGAUUUAAAUUAUGGAUUGGCCUGCGCAGUCACCAUAUCUUAAUCCCAUCAAAAACCUUUGCACUAAUGUCAAAUGGCGAUUUCUAAAGAAAUACCAAAAACUCAGCUCGAAAAACAUUUCUUUAAAACGUUGUCAAGAUCUGAUCCCGUGAUUCGGUGAUUGAUAAGCCGAUUCGGUGCGAAGCUGAGAUUUAAAUCGCGGACAUGAUUUAAAUAUUAAAUUUUUUAGUAUUAUUUUUCCAAUAUUUACAA